GAGGACCUCCUCUCGGCCUGCACUGCCUCGUCAGUUGCUCGCACACCAACCUGAUACUUCGAAGAGCGUUCAAAGUCAUCCAAUGAUCUUGGAAGUCUCAUGAAAAUUUGCACCGACACGCGACGUUCGUUGCUGCAGCGUUCGAACGGGUUCGAGACAAAAGGGGGAUGGCUGUGUCGUCACACGUUCGACUGCAAGUUUAGUUCGUAGGUAAUUCAGCUUCGUUCGGGUAACGUGAGAAAUAACUUUGGCGUAAAUGAAAAACGGUUUGUGAUACGAAUAAUAGUACUGAUAGUCAACGCUGAUUGUGCAUCUGCAAAGGAUGGAUGUCCCAUCGAUGAAAUAUA